rnacentral:rRNA from 1 species
GAUGAACGCUGGCGGCGUGCUUAACACAUGCAAGUCGAGCGGACAGGCCCGGCUCUUGUGGGGUGCUCGUGUGGCGAGCGGGUGAGUAACACGCGAGUAUACUGUCCUUGUCUUACGGAUAACUUCUGGAAAAAGGGGCUCAUACCGCAUAGGAGCUCCUGCAGCACGGGGGGCGAUGGAAAGUUUCGGUGGUUGUGUCUCGACUCGAGGCUUAUCCGCUUGUUUGUCGGGUAGUGGCUGUCCAAGGCUAUGACGGAUAGGCGGCAUGGGAGAUUGGCCGGCCACAAUGGUACUGAGAUACGGCCCAGAAUCCUACGUGAGGCAGUAGUGGGGAACAUUGCACAAUGGCGGGACGCGUGAUGCAGAAACGCCGCGUGCGGGAUGCCGGCCUUCUGGGUGUAAACCGAUUUCGCCUGUGACGAAGCGUGAGUGACGGUAAUGGGUAAAGAAGCAACGGCUAACUACGUG